rnacentral:rRNA from 1 species
AUACGGAGGAUCCGAGCGUUAUCCGGAUUUAUUGGGUUUAAAGGGUGCGUAGGUGGUUUGAUAAGUCAGCGGUGAAAGUUUGCAGCUUAACUGUAAAAAUGCCGUUGAAACUGUCGGACUUGAGUGUAAAUGAGGUAGGCAGAAUGCGUGGUGUAGCGGUGAAAUGCAUAGAUAUCACGCAGAACUCCGAUUGCGAAGGCAGCUUACUAAGCUACAACUGACACUGAAGCACGAAAGCGUGGGGAUCAAACAGGAUUAGAUACCCUGGUAGUCCACGCAGUAAACGAUGAUUACUAGCUGUUUGCGAUACACAGUAAGCGGCACAGCGAAAGCGUUAAGUAAUCCACCUGGGGAGUACGCCGGCAACGGUGAAACUCAAAUGAAUUGACGGGG